GAGGAACAUAAAGAGAAGGUAAAGACCUCGGCAACCUGGAAGACUAUCCAAGGUGCUUGAAGAUGUGGCAGAGAUGCAACUAAGUAGUCAAAA
ncrna:unclassified sequences SAM-I/IV variant riboswitch